GGAUUUUCCUUCGGGAUAAGUAGCGGCGGACGGGUGAGCUCUCGUAGGUAACCUGCCUAUAAGAUCGGGAUAACUAUCGGAAACGAUAGCUAAGACCGGAUAACUGGUUUUCUCGCAUGAGAGAAUCAUGAAACACGGAGCAAUCUGUGGCUUAUAGAUGGGCCUGCGGCGCAUUAGCUAGUUGGUGAGGUAACGGCUCACCAAGGCGACGAUGCGUAGCCGACCUGAGAGGGUGAACGGCCACACUGGGACUGAGACACGGCCCAGACUCCUACGGGAGGCAGCAGUAGGGAAUCUUCCGCAAUGGACGCAAGUCUGACGGAGCAACGCCGCGUGAGUGAUGAAGGUUUUCGGAUCGUAAAGCUCUGUUGCCCUAGACGAACAGCAAGGAGAGCAACUGCUCUUUGUGUGACGGUAUAGGAGAAGAAAGCCCCGGCUAACUACGUGCCAGCAGCCGCGGUAAUACGUAGGGGGCAAGCGUUGUCCGGAAUUAUUGGGCGUAAAGCGCGCGCAGGCGGUCAAUUAAGUUGGGUGUUUAAGCCCGGGGCUCAACCCCGGUUCGCAUCCAAAACUGGUUGACUUGAGUGUAGGAGAGGAAAGUGGAAUUCCACGUGUAGCGGUGAAAUGCGUAGAGAUGUGGAGGAACACCAGUGGCGAAGGCGACUUUCUGGCCUAUAACUGACGCUGAGGCGCGAAAGCGUGGGGAGCAAACAGGAUUAGAUACCCUGGUAGUCCACGCCGUAAACGAUGCAUACUAGGUGUUGGGGAUUCGAUUCCUCGGUGCCGAAGUUUACACAGUAAGUAUGCCGCCUGGGGAGUACGCUCGCAAGAGUGAAACUCAAA
rnacentral:rRNA from 1 species